AUCGCUUCUCGGCCUUUUGGCUAAGAUCAAGUGUAGUAUAUGAUUUAUUGAAUUGCAGAUAAUUUGUUGGUUAUGUCUGAGUAUUUUGCUUCAGAUCCAAAUCAUGUGAUAACGUCCCUGUAAUGCCCAGUUAACUGUGUAUAUUUA
rnacentral:snRNA from 1 species